rnacentral:rRNA from 1 species
UGGGGAAUAUUGGACAAUGGGCGAAAGCCUGAUCCAGCCAUGCCGCGUGUGUGAAGAAGGUCUUCGGAUUGUAAAGCACUUUAAGUUGGGAGGAAGGGCAUUAACCUAAUACGUUAGUGUUUUGACGUUACCGACAGAAUAAGCACCGGCUAACUCUGUGCCAGCAGCCGCGGUAAUACAGAGGGUGCAAGCGUUAAUCGGAAUUACUGGGCGUAAAGCGCGCGUAGGUGGUGUGUUAAGUUGGAUGUGAAAUCCCCGGGCUCAACCUGGGAACUGCAUUCAAAACUGACUGACUAGAGUAUGGUAGAGGGUGGUGGAAUUUCCUGUGUAGCGGUGAAUGCGUAGAUAUAGGAAGGAACACCAGUGGCGAAGGCGACCACCUGGACUAAUACUGACACUGAGGUGCGAAAGCGUGGGGAGCAAACA